rnacentral:lncRNA from 1 species
AGGAAUAUCCAUAGAGGAUUUGUGUUUUGGAGUGUGUCUCCCUUAUGGUAGAUAUUUAUGGUAGUUACUGUAUGAUAUUAUUGCAUGCUAUUUUAUUUAUGGUUCUUAUGUUUAGAUAAUUAUUUACGCUAUUUCUACUGGAGUUAAUAAUGCUCUUCUAUUUUUUGUUUUUGUUUAUCCUUUCCUUCUCUGAGCCGAG